rnacentral:rRNA from 1 species
GGUGUAGGUGGUUUUUCAAGUCGGAUGUGAAAUUUCCCGGCUCAACUGGGAAGGGUCAUUCGAUACUGUUAGACUAGAGGGCAGCAGAGGGAGAUGGAAUUCCCGGUGUAGUGGUGAAAUGCGUAGAUAUCGGGAGGAACACCAGUGGCGAAAGCGGUCUCCUGGGCUGUUCCUGACACUGAGGCCCAAAAGCGUGGGGAGCAAACAGGAUUAGAUACCCUGGUAGUCCACGCCUUAAACGAUGGAUACUAGGUAUGGGGGGUAUCGACCCCCUCCGUGCCAAAGUUAACGCCUUAAGUAUCCCGCCUGGGGAGUACGGUCGCAAGGCUAAA